UACUGCUGCAUGUCACCUUCCCUCUGCUGUUGCUGGACAAGAUGGAAUAAAGGGCCCAGAACCCAACCAAAGAGCCCAUUGUAACAUACUGAAGAAUUGACAUACUCAACUCCUUCCUUCAUCCUCAACCAUCAUUGCCAGCAUCAUCAGUGUUCCCACCUUCAACACCACCCAUAGGGAAAAGGAUACCAAACACAUCUCUAGGGGUUUACAGAAUUUUAAUGAGCCUUCAUGGAUUUGACAAUUUCCUGGGGAGAACAUGUAUACUUGUAAAAUAAUUAAAUAGGAUACUCCCCAAGCAA